GGAUGCAAGGGUGAUCUGGUUGCAACAUUGGUCAAUUCAUUGAUCAGUAGGGAUCAGUUGACUGACUUGGCAGGCUAGGCAAGUAUCCCCUUCCUCCCUCAUCACUCCAUGUACAUCUCUCCCAAAGCUGCAUGCUUGGUGGAAGAAGGAAUAGGAGUGUACCAAUCUUCAUUCAAGGGUUCCUUAAUUCCGUUUGGCCCUUUAAAGCUCCUAAACCCCCCAAAUGGAUAAGCAAUGUGGUCCUGCCCAUUCAGGAGACAUCACAUU
rnacentral:sRNA from 1 species